UCGUUUUUUGGAUAUUGGAACCGGGCGU
rnacentral:sRNA from 1 species